rnacentral:rRNA from 1 species
UCAGGAUGAGCGCUGGCGGCGUGCUUAGCACAUGCAAGUCGAACGGAGCUUAAGAAGGAAGCUUGCUUUCAUUUAAGCUUAGUGGCGGACGGGUGAGUAACGCGUGAGCAACCUGCCCUUCAGUGGGGAAUAACACCGAGAAAUCGGUGCUAAUACCGCAUAAUGUCGGAGGACCGCAUGAUCUUCCGACCAAAGGAUUUAUUCGCUGAAGGAUGGGCUCGCGUCCGAUUAGGCAGUUGGCGGGGUAACGGCCCACCAAACCAACGAUCGGUAGCCGAACUGAGAGGUUGAUCGGCCACAUUGGGACUGAGACACGGCCCAGACUCCUACGGGAGGCAGCAGUGGGGAAUAUUGGGCAAUGGGCGAAAGCCCUGACCCAGCAACGCCGCGUGAAGGAUGAAGGUCUUCGGAUUGUAAACUUCUUUGAUUGGGGAAGAAUAAAUGACCUACCCAAAGAACAAGUCACGGCUAACUACGUGCCAGCCGCGGC